GCACUGCUGAGGAGUCCCACAAUAGGACAAAACGACCGUCUAGUGC
rnacentral:hammerhead_ribozyme from 1 species